GGAUACACGCCAGUGAAAAUAUCCUUGUCCAAACUGGAGUCGUGACAUCUUCGUCACUCGAUGCUUUCAGGCUCUGGUCAGGCUGCAAUGGGUCUCAGCUGGAUGUAUUCAAUUUUGAUUUUCUUUCAAGAAUAAGAGCAGCUCUGGAUCUACAAAAAGUAUCCUUGUACCAUAGUUUGUUAGUUUAUAAAUGCUUGCUCUAUCAACAAGUAUCAACCAUUGAGUUCAACGCAGAAGGUAUACUACUUCUGUCGCUCUAAGCAUUGUGACUUAGAGUACGUUCCAUCCCUCUAGGUGCUGUAACGAGGAUGUGAAAUAAAGAUUCCUGGUGGCAGUACAGAAUUUGCAAAUUGAGCUAGACCGUAUGUGAUAUCGCUCACAUGCCCUUGACCACUGGUUUUAGAGAGAGAAAAGUGACAGGUACUUUUUGCGGCUGUGAUUUCUUGGCACGGUAUGAUAAUGCCUCAGUAAUGGGAGACGUUCAGACAGCAAUUGUUUUAAUACGGCUUCUAUGGACAUAGCUGAUCAGGCAUUAUGGCGCACUACAGAUUUAAUCUGUGGCUGAUGGAUUGGAAGAGAUGAGUUUUACUCAAGGUCUUCCACUUUCGGCCAUUGGUCAUUAACAUGGCGACAAUUCAUAAAUAAAACACAUUCUAAAUGUAGACGUUGAAAGAGAAAAAGAAGUAGAAAGUGUCAUGUGGAACGGGACCAGCUCUUGUUUCUAGACACAGGUGACGACGUAUUGUGCAUGACAACGUGGCACUGAUGCGAUAUCUGCAAGUCUUUUUGGUAGAUGAAAAUGAUUAUCAGGAAUCAUCACAGCAGGAGCAAUAUGUUACCUAGUGGAAAACGUUAGGCUGUAACGCGCGGUUAGAUUACAGGACAUAGAUGACCAUGAUUCUUCGGGACAAGAGUCACCUCGUCUCCUGGGUGAUAGAGGUCCUUGGAAGGAAGAAUAGACCAGGCACCCCACUUCCUGCAAGAGUACCAGUUUCGUUGAAUAAUGAGAAAUAUUCUGCUCUUUAAAGUACACAGUGGGUAUGAAGUAUCAACCGGGUACAGGGUUAAUGCAAGAACAAAUGGAUAUUCCUGGUGUGUAAAAAUAUGAUGCGUAAGAGAGGACGAACCGGGGAGGACGGGGUCAAAGUGGGUUGUGGGCGACUCGCGAUUUCGUAACCUGAAAUAGCACUGUAGGAGCAGAGG
rnacentral:lncRNA from 1 species